CCAGACUCCUACGGGAGGCAGCAGUGGGGAAUAUUGCACAAUGGGGGAAACCCUGAUGCAGCGACGCCGCGUGAGUGAAGAAGUAUUUCGGUAUGUAAAGCUCUAUCAGCAGGGAAGAAAUAGCGACCUUUGGGUCGCCAGACGGUACCUGAUUAAGAAGCCCCGGCUAACUACGUGCCAGCAGCCGCGGUAAUACGUAGGGAGCGAGCGUUGUCCGGAAUUACUGGGUGUAAAGGGAGCGUAGGCGGGCUUGUAAGUUGAAUGUCUAAUCCACCGGCUCAACCGGUGAUCGCGUUCAAAACUGCAGGUCUUGAGUGAAGUAGAGGCAGGCGGAAUUCCUAGUGUAGCGGUGAAAUGCGUAGAUAUUAGGAGGAACGCCAGUGGCGAAGGCGGCCUGCUGGACGGUGACUGACGCUGAGGCUCGAAAGCGUGGGGAGCAAACAGGAUUAGAUACCCCCGUA
rnacentral:rRNA from 1 species